CGCGCUGUAGCUCAGUUGGAAGAGCAUUGCCACGGAAAGCCAAAAGGUCCUGAGGUUUAAGCCCCGACUGCGUUA